UGCUGGUUAAUAAUGCGUGGCAAAAAUCAGCACUUCAAGACCUGUUUGCCCCCAAACAUGGGUAAACUACCUUGUUUUACCCCUCCUUUGUUUACUUACAGAUAUGAUACUGUAUGUCUUCACCCUUCUGGAUCAGUGAUGUAUUUGCACAGUUGGGGAAAAGCAGACGAAGAAGAGCUAGCUUUGGGGCUCUUAAACCGCAACGUACAUGUACAAUGUAGGCAAUCUCAGCUUGUCUGGGACACUGCUUGUCCUAGUGGAGUACUGCUAUUUAUGCAACAUAAAGUAUCUUACCAAAACUGAGGGACCAGGUGUGCCUUAAUGACAGCAGAUUGAUAGCAGGUGCUGCCCCACACACCUUAAAUAGUAAAAAGGCUCACUGGAGUUGUGACUGGGAAGAGAGCUAUGAGUCCACCUCAGAAGCAGAGAGGUGCAGAUAAUGACUCACCUUCCAGAACUGGAGAGAGACAGAACAUUGUGGGAUCUAAGGUAAGAGCAAAGACACGUCUAACAGAGGGUUAGGUGUGUGUUCUGCUUGGGAAAGUUAAGGAGGUAUAUCUGCUGUGUGGGCUUUUGCUGUUUAUGUCUAGGACAAGGAAGCUGUUCCAUGGCUGUGUGAUACCAGUCUUGAGGGAACUGGUGUCUGGCUACAGGUAUCUCAUGAAGAAGGGACAUGGUGGUUGAGUCUUAAGGGUACCUUUUGGAAUGGAUUAGGAUUACAGGUAGGUUAUGUCAAGAAUUUAGAGGAACACAAGAAAAGCGAAUGGUUGUAGAGGUGCCCCAGACAUGAAAUCUCAUCUAGCUUUUAGAGUGGGUUGUGCAUUUCAAUUUACUGCUAAAUUAUGCUAGCUAAAGCCCUGUUCUUACCAGGUGACCUGAAUGAUGGCUUCUGUUUGCUUAUCUGUGAUGGUGUGCUGUUUUUUGGCAGGGAUAAAGUUAACUUUCUUAAUAUAUUGUAUGGUGCUAUGUUUUGGAUUUGUGAUGAAAACAAUGUCGAUAACACACCAGUGUUUUAGUUGCUACUGAGCAGUGCUUACACAGCAUCAUGGUAUUUCCUUACACUGCUCUGUCAUCAAGGAGGUUGGGGUAGGUGCAGAAGAAGCUGGGAGGUGAUGCCACCAGGACAGCUUCCCCUCACUGACCAGAGGGGUGUCCCAUACUGUAUGACUUUGUGCUCAACAAUGAAUACAGGGGGAAGGUUGCCAGGCCUGCCAUGGCUUGGGGACCAGUCAGCUGGUGGUACACAAUUGCAUUGUACGUGACUUGUUGACUUGUUUUUUCUUUCUUUGUUUCCAACUGUUUUUUUUUUUUUUUUUUUUUUUUUUUAAUUUACAAAAUCUCAAUGCAUGAUUUUUCUAAAUUUUGCCUAUUGAUUGUCUUCCUUUAUCCCAUUGGUUGGAGUGAGUCAGUAGCUGUGUGGGGCUUGGCUGCCCACUGAUUUUAAUCCAUAACAGGUGUUCUCCAGAGAAUUAUAUCAUUGUGGCUUAUGCAAUUUAUUAGCUUAUUUUGCUCUUAAAUGUCUGCAUUUUCAUUGCUGUGGGUCUAAAUUAUGUUUCUUGCUUUCUGCUAUCCCCUAAAACUCUUCAUUUAAGUUCAAGUGUGGAAAAUCCCAAAUACUUGAAUUGUGUAUUAGACUUCAGAGGGGUCGGAUGUACUUAAUGUUUGCCCUUCACUCUUUUGACUUGUUUAAAGAUCUCCAGUAGGAGCCAUAAGUGGUUGCAUGGUGCACUGAGUAGUCAGCCUUCCCCUCUGGGAACAGAUAUGGGAGGGAAAACUUAAAGCAGAAGAAGCUGACAGAGAACAAAGCUACCUGACAGCUCUGAGGGAUGUUCUGGAUUUAGCUGCUGAGAGUUUUAGGUGUUUGGCUCUGCUGAGAACUGUGUGUAGCUAGCAAACUCCAUCUGUGCUGCACAACUACCAGGGGCCUGUGCAGGUAAUGCCCAUGCAUUAGGGUUACUGACGAGUCUUCCUGUAGAAACAGCAGGCUGGAACUGAGCCAAAUGCAGAUCCAGAAAAUUUGUAGAAGCUGUGGAAAGAUGGUUUGAAAAGUGAUAACAUGUUUAAGUAUCUAAUGCGUUAUUUAAUCUAUAGUUGCAAUCUUCUGUACAUAGGCACUUUCUAGCUGUUCUGUACAUGAGAACAUAGCUUGUUCUGAUAAUACAUCAAUUUAUAUAAUAAAAUUAGCAACUAGAACCCUGCUGUUAAUAUU
rnacentral:lncRNA from 1 species